rnacentral:rRNA from 1 species
CCUACGGGAGGCUGCAGUGGGGAAUAUUGGACAAUGGGGGCAACCCUGAUCCAGCCAUGCCGCGUGUGUGAAGAAGGCCCCCGGGUUGUAAAGCACUUUCAGUGAGGAAGAACGCCUGGUGGUUAAUACCCAUCAGGAAAGACAUCACUCACAGAAGAAGCACCGGCUAACUCCGUGCCAGCAGCCGCGGUAAUACGGAGGGUGCGAGCGUUAAUCGGAAUUACUGGGCGUAAAGCGCGCGUAGGUGGCUUGAUAAGCCGGUUGUGAAAGCCCCGGGCUCAACCUGGGAACGGCAUCCGGAACUGUCAAGCUAGAGUGCAGGAGAGGAAGGUAGAAUUCCCGGUGUAGCGGUGAAAUGCGUAGAGAUCGGGAGGAAUACCAGUGGCGAAGGCGGCCUUCUGGACUGACACUGACACUGAGGUGCGAAAGCGUGGGUAGCAAACAGGAUUAGAUACCCGUGUAGUC